GACGAACGCUGGCCGCGUGCUUCCCCCCUGCACGUCGACCGCAGCUUGAUUACGGAUUCUUCGGAUGAAGUAUGAUAUGACUGAGUGGCGGACGGGUGAGUAACGCGUGAGUAACCUGCCCUUCAGAGGGGGAUAGCGUUUGGAAACGAACGGUAAUACCGCAUAAUGUAUUUUGACCGCAUGAUCGAAAUACCAAAGAUUUAUCGCUGAAGGAUGGACUCGCGUCGGAUUAGGUAGUUGGUGGGGUAACGGCCUACCAAGCCGACGAUCAGUAGCCGGACUGAGAGGUGGAUCGGCCACAUUGGGACUGAGACACGGCCCAGACUCCUACGGGAGGCAGCAGUGAGGAAUAUUGAACAAUGGGCGCAAGCCUGAUGCAGCAACGCCGCGUGAAGGAAGACGGUUUUCGGAUUGUAAACUUCUGUUCUUAGGGAAGAAUAAUGACGGUAGCUAAGGAGCAAGCCACGGCUAACUACGUG
rnacentral:rRNA from 1 species